AUGUGGGAGGAAUGCUUGCCUCAUAUUGAAUUUGCUUAUAAUCGUUCAUUGCAUUCUACUACUAAGAUGUGCCCUUUUGAAGUUGUGUAUGGUUUCCUACCUCGUGCACCUAUUGAUUUGUUGCCUCUUCCAUCUUCGGAGAAGGUUAAUUUUGAUGCUAAACAACGUGCUGAAUUGAUUUUAAAAAUGCAUGAGUUAACUAAGGAAAACAUUGAGCGCAUGAAUGCUAAAUAUAAACUUGCUGGGGAUAAGGGUAGAAAACAUGUUGUGUUUGCACCUGGAGAUCUUGUUUGGUUACAUUUGCGUAAGGAUAGAUUUCCUGAUUUGCGCAAAUCAAAGUUAAUGCCACGUGCUGAUGGUCCCUUUAAGGUGUUAGAGAAAAUAAAUGAUAAUGCAUAUAAACUUGAGCUGCCUGCAGAUUUUGGGGUUAGUCCCACUUUUAACAUUGCAGAUUUGAAGCCUUAUUUGGGUGAGGAAGAUGAACUACCGUCGAGGACGACUUCAUUUCAAGAAGGGGAGGAUGAUGAGGACAUCAAUACAAUUGUUACACCCACAGGCCCUGCUGCUAUACAUACUGGACCAAUUACUAGAGCUCGUGCACGCCAACUAAAUUACCAGGAAACAGACCCUCGUGGUCAGGUUGAUCGUGCUCCGGCGUGGUCAAUAACCUCUCGGAGUUGGUUUAGCGAUUGCUAA
rnacentral:rRNA from 1 species